UCCCGUGUGGCUCAGUUGGUAGAGCAUGGCGCUGGCAACUCCAGGGUUGUGUGUUCAAUUCCCACAGGGGGAC
rfam:Salmo salar isolate Sally breed double haploid chromosome ssa15, whole genome shotgun sequence.